AUUGAACGCUGGCGGCAGGCCUAACACAUGCAAGUCGAACGGUAACAGGAAGCAGCUUGCUGCUUUGCUGACGAGUGGCGGACGGGUGAGUAAUGUCUGGGAAACUUCCCGAUGGAGGGGGAUAACUACUGGAAACGGUAGCUAAUACCGCAUAACGUCGCAAGACCAAAGAGGGGGACCUUAGGGCCUCUUGCCAUCGGAUGUGCCCAGAUGGGAUUAGCUAGUAGGUGGGGUAACGGCUCACCUAGGCGACGAUCCCUAGCUGGUCUGAGAGGAUGACCAGCCACACUGGAACUGAGACACGGUCCAGACUCCUACGGGAGGCAGCAGUGGGGAAUAUUGCACAAUGGGCGCAAGCCUGAUGCAGCCAUGCCGCGUGUAUGAGGAAGGCCUUCGGGUUGUAAAGUACUUUCAGCGGGGAGGAAGGGAGUAAAGUUAAUACCUUCGCUCAUUGACGUUACCCGCAGAAGAAGCACCGGCUAACUCCGUG
rnacentral:rRNA from 1 species